rnacentral:tRNA from 1 species
GGUGCCCUAGCUCAACUGGAUAGAGGAGCCCCGUCCUAAGGGGAUGGUUCGGGGUUCAAGUCCCUGGGACACCACCA